rnacentral:tRNA from 9 species
GCAGGAAUGGCGGAACUGGCAGACGCGCUAGACUUAGGAUCUAGUGUCAUUGACGUGGGGGUUCAAGUCCUCUUUCCUGCACCA